AAAAACUUCCCGAAGUCAGUGGGCUUUGUACAGCUUUGUACAGUUUUGAGAGCUCAUACAUGUGUGUAUACAAAAGAAGCUGUAUCCGCAGGGAGGAAUAAAAACAAUCCCUUAGUGGAGAAAUCUAAUAAAAAUUAAGUGAUUUUCCCUUAUUCUUCCAGGCAUUUAAGGAACUUGACUUUCAGAAAGACUGCUUUUUGGACCUGAAGUUAACACUUUCCUCCUUGGUUAAUGCUGCCCUGUUCUGAACUUCUCUAUUCAAAGUUUGGCAUGAAGACAGCUACUGAGAAUUACCAGUUCCCCUGUCUUGAUGAUACUCAGAUCUAUACAUUUCUCAAUUUGUCCGUUUACCAUUGGAGAAGUUAAAUCAACCCAAAAUCUGUGGGGAAGUUGCAACUGGUCUAAGCCAUUUGUUUACGCUGAAGAAGUUAAAUCCACCCAGGAUCCAUAGGGAAGCUCCGACUGGUCUAAGCCAUUCAUUUACAUUGGAGAAGUUAAAUCCACCCAGGAUCCAUGGGGGAGUUCCGACUGGUCUAAGCCAUUUGGAGUAAUUCGCUGUUCUUGGCAGAGUGAUCAGUGUAGGAGAUAUUUACUGAACACCCGAUUGUGCAGAGUACCCUGGAGGGAAGAGGAAGGUGAACUAGGAACCAUACCUACUCUCAUGGAUGUUAUUUGUGUGCGCUCAGUUUGGAACAUCUGCACCCGUUCUGUAAUCAGAGCAAAUGUUAGCCUAAAGAGGUCUGCUCACAGGGGAGGGAAAAUAAAGAGAACCGUGGAGAAGUACAGCUGGAGCCAUUGUAUUAUGCUAUCUCUGCAACCUGCCUUGUCUCUGGAUUUUUGUUCCCAUGAGCUUCAGGAAUUCUUUCCAUAUCAUCUAUCGCUGAGUUUCUCUUCCCCUCUCCUGAACUGUGAGUCUCAGACCCCGUGCCAGUGAGUGCCAUGUUUGUGUAUGAAGAAAUGAGGGAAUGGAUGGCACCUAGACUUCCCUCCUUUGGAUGCCCAUUAAGGUUUGAGAGCCCCCAGCUGGGCGGGGUUAACCAAGUAUGUGAAAACCUGUGACAUCAAAAGCCUGCCUCCACCUGAAAUCCAAAGUCCUAUUUUGUUAACUCCUAGGUUUAUUUGUGCAGGAAUAAAUCUAUUAAAUAAUAGAUGCA
rnacentral:lncRNA from 1 species